GGUGCAAUUGCAUCAGAUUAUCAAAGGCUACGUGUGGAAAGUGUCUGUUCAAGAUUAGAGCUUGUUUCUCUGGCAUAUUUGUGGAAAAAAGAUCAAUCAUUGCUUCUCCAGGAAAUGAUAACAAAUGGCAUUGUGGCUAUUGCAGUCAAUGUUGCAGCCAUGGGGUUGGACCCUUGCAAAGCACUUGGGCAAAGAAAUAGCAUUUUUGAAAACUUAUCUGCAUAAAUUGAAGGACUUGCAUGGAAUCAACGUAUGUGGUGAGGGAGGGAAGUAUGAAACUUUGACUCUUGACCGCCCACUCUUCCAUAAUGCUAGAAUCAUUAUUGAUGAAUUCCAAGUUGUGCUGCACUCUUCUGAUUCCAGAGCUCCAGUUGGAGUUCUGCAUCCAUUGAAAUUUCAUUUGGAAAGACAGGCAUCCAGCUCGUCAAGUGUUUAUGACAAAACCAAUGAUAUAUGCGGGGAGAAUAUGAGUUCUGCAUAUGAAGUGCAAGGUGAAAAUCCUCAAGAAUGCAAAGCUCCAAGUGAAUCCGUUCCUGAAGUUAGUGACUUGGUUGAUGUUUCAAGUAAUCGGCUUCACAUCUUUAAAACAGAAAAAGAUAAUACAGUUUCUAUUUGUUGCCGGUUGCGAGAUCCAUCAGAACCUUCACUGGGUUUGCAGGAAGAUUUGAAGCUGCUCCUUAGGCAAAUUGAAUUGCAACUUCUAGGAUGUGGUUUUGGUUGGGAGCAUGUGCUUUAUAGUCAUCUGUACAUAUCCGAUAUGAAUCAGUUCACACUGGCAAAUGAGACGUGAGAUUUAUUACCCAGGACAAAUGCCCUUUUGGUGUUCCAUCACGAAGUACUAUUGAACUGCCUUUAAUUCAAGCAGGUUUAGGGAGAGCAUAUAUUGAAGUGCUGGUGGCCAAUGAUCAGAGCAAAAGAGUUUUGCAUGUUCAAAGUAUUUCAUGUUGGGCACCUUGUUGCAUUGGACCAUAUAGCCAGGCUGAUUUUUUUGGGGCUGUGUUUGGAUGGGGAAUGGCAGGGAGGGAGUGUAAGCACAGUAAUGGAUUUCUUGAUGAUAAGAGAUUGAAUUGCUAGCCACUCAGGAAUCCUAUAUUAUAAAGAUAUGAUGCAUAGAUGUUAAAAGAUGACUGGGUUCUUUUGCAGUCGUACCUGAUAUUUUAUGAAUGUAGCAUUGUUUCUAUCACUAUGCAGUCUAUUCAACUUUUAACUUGUUCAAUUUUACUUUUAGGCAACUUUGCAUAAAGAGAUACUCCACAUGUCUGGUCAGUCGGGACUUGAUCCACCUACAAUGACUCCAUG